rnacentral:rRNA from 1 species
GAUGAACGCUGGCGGCGUGCCUAAUACAUGCAAGUCGAGCGAACGGACGAGAAGCUUGCUUCUCUGAUGUUAGCGGCGGACGGGUGAGUAACACGUGGAUAACCUACCUAUAAGACUGGGAUAACUUCGGGAAACCGUAGCUAAUACCGGAUAAUAUUUUGAACCGCAUGGUUCAAAAGUGACAGACGGUCUUGCUGUCACUUAUAGAUGGAUCCGCGCUGCAUUAGCUAGUUGGUAAGGUAACGGCUUACCAAGGCAACGAUGCGUAGCCGGCCUGAGAGGGUGAUCGGCCACACUGGAACUGAGACACGGUCCAGACUCCUACGGGAGGCAGCAGUAGGGAAUCUUGCGCAAUGGGCGAAAGCCUGACGGAGCAACGCCGCGUGAGUGAUGAAGGUCUUCGGAUCGUAAAGCUCUGUUAUUAGGGAAGAACAUAUGUGUAAGUAACUGUGCACAUCUUGACGGUACCUAAUCAGAAAGCCACGGCUAACUACGUG